rnacentral:rRNA from 1 species
UACGAAGGGGGCUAGCGUUGCUCGGAAUCACUGGGCGUAAAGGGCGCGUAGGCGGCCAUUCAAGUGACGGGUGAAAGCCCUCGGCUUAACCGAGGAACUGCCUGUCAGACUGGGUGGCUCGAGACCGGGAGAGGUGAGUGGAAUUCCCAGUGUAGCGGUGAAAUGCGUAGAUAUCAGGAGGAACACCGAUGGCGAAGGCAGGUCUCUGGGCCGCUACUGACGCUGAGAAGCGAAAGCAUGGGGAGCGAACAGG